rnacentral:rRNA from 1 species
CCUACGGGAGGCAGCAGUGGGGAAUAUUGGACAAUGGGGGCAACCCUGAUCCAGCAAUGCCGCGUGGAUGAAGAAGGUCUUCGGAUUGUAAAGUCCUUUCGGCGGGGACGAUGAUGACGGUACCCGCAGAAGAAGCCCCGGCUAACUUCGUGCCAGCAGCCGCGGUAAUACGAAGGGGGCUAGCGUUGCUCGGAAUGACUGGGCGUAAAGGGCGCGUAGGCGGUUUGAUCAGUUAGGCGUGAAAUUCCUGGGCUCAACCUGGAGGCUGCGCUUAAUACGGUCAGGCUUGAGUGUGGAAGAGGGUAGUGGAAUUCCCAGUGUAGAGGUGAAAUUCGUAGAUAUUGGGAAGAACACCGGUGGCGAAGGCGGCGACCUGGUCCAUUACUGACGCUGAGGCGCGAAAGCGUGGGGAGCAAACAGGAUUAGAUACCCCUGUAGUC